AAUAUGACACAAUGGUGGGAACUCUGAUUCCACAACGCCGCGUGACCGAUGAAUGCCCUCGGGUCGUAAAGUUCUGUCCUGGGGGACGAGAAUGACGGUACCCUAUGAUGAAGCCCCGGCUAACUACGUGCCAGCAGCCGCGGUAAUCCGUAGGGGUCAAGCGUUGUCCGGAUUUAUUGGGCGUAAAGGGUGCGUAGGCGGCCUUUUAAGUCAGAUGUGAAAGGUCACGGCUCAACCGGGGUAAGCAUUUGAAACUGACAGGCUUGAGUUCAGGAGAGGAAAGUGGAAUUCCUAGUGUAGCGGUGAAAUGCGUAGAUAUUAGGAGGAAUACCAGUGGCGAAGGCGACUUUCUGGACUUAUACUGACGCUGAGGCACGAAAGCGUGGGGAGCGAACAGG
rnacentral:rRNA from 1 species